rnacentral:rRNA from 1 species
CCUACGGGAGGCAGCAGUGAGGAAUAUUGGUCAAUGGGAGAGAUACUGAACCAGCCAAGCCGCGUGAGGGAAGACGGCCCUAUGGGUUGUAAACCUCUUUUGUCGGAGAACAAAACCCGGGACGUGUCCCGGACUGCGUGUAUCCGAAGAAAAAGCAUCGGCUAACUCCGUGCCCGCAGCCGCGGUAAUACGGAGGAUGCGAGCGUUAUCCGGAUUUAUUGGGUUUGAAGGGUGCGUCGGCGGUCCGUUAAGUCAGCGGGAAAAUUGCGGGGCUCAACCCCGUCGAGCCGUUGAAACUGGCGGGCUGGAGUUGGAGAGAAUGACGCGGAAUGCGCGGUGUAGCGGUGAAAUGCUUAGAGAUCGCGCAGAACCCCGAUUGCGAAGGCAGCGUACCGGCUCCACACUGACGCUGAGGCACGAAAGCGUGGGUAUCGAACAGGAUUAGAUACCCCAGUAGUU